CCCCUCUCAGAGUCGCACCUGGAGAGUUUCCAGUACUCUACCAGUCUCAACUAUGGGAGGGAGAGUCAAGCAGAGGCAUAUCCAUUCCAUUCUUAGCUUGGGGUAGUGGCUAGCAGGUGGAAGACAACCUGCUACAAGU